rnacentral:lncRNA from 1 species
GGCGGAGCUUCCCGAGGGCGGGAGCCAAUGAGAGCCUUUUACCGGCCGCAUGCGGAUGACGACACCGCCUAGCGUGGGCUGGUGGAGAGGGAGGGGGCAGAGCGAGCGCGCGGGGGAGCAAGUUGACAGCCAAUGGCUGCAAAGCGCUUCUAGAUCGCCUGCAUGUUUUGCGCGCGAAGGCAGGGGCGUUGCUGUGCGGGCGUCCAAUGGGAUCGCAGGGCCGGCAGCUCGUUUGCAGGGCGCGCGGCUUGCUGCAGAUGGAGGGGAAGGCAAAAUGGCGGCGACAGGCGGUGGGGGGGCGGUCGCUGCCCCCGAGCAUAGAAGGCGGGUUUGGGGGAUAGCAGCCUCAACCCUGCGGCAGUGCCGUGCCUGGGAGCGGCGUCACCGUCACCGUUUCCCGGCUUUAUUCUGUGUGAACGCAGUGAGCCCGCCGGCUGCAAAUGCACGGAGCGCACCCUGAGAUCCUGCAGGAAAGGGGAGGGAGGGAGCGCAGCACCGCGGCUGUGCUGUCAGCUCGUAGGUGGGGAUGGAUUUAGGAACACAAAGGCGGGGAGACCUCGGAAAGGGAGCAGCGCCCCGUGCUUGUAAAGAUAAGGGGCACGAACCGCCCUCCCCGUGCUGAGCAGGGCUGGAAUGCAACGGCCGCUCCACCCAGUGCAGAGUGCGGCUCAGCUCCGUGCUCUGCCGGCUCACACCCAGCGCUGGCUGCUCGCAGGGGCUGCAUGGGCAGCUGUGUGCUUUUUCCUUCUUUGUGAAGCACGAGCAGACCGUGAGUAGGACCUAAGAAUAGUCCUGCUGGCACUUGGGAAUUAAACAACGGCAUUCCGAUAUGCAGUCGUGCUUUGCACAAUGGGUGCACGGCAGGGGAAGGCAGCCCGGAGCGGCAGUGAGUCAGUGCAGGGAGGAGAGCUCCGGCCAAUGAGUCACUGCGUUAGAAAUUAAAGGCUGUUAACACACUUGGCUGAAAUAACCCAUUUACAGUACAGUGGAAAAACGAAGGCCCGGCAGUCUGGACGAUGCUUUCCCUCCCCCGCCCCAAGUGAUGAAUCCCAACGUUACUUUCUGAAGCCAGUUUGGUGCGUUGCGGCUCAAGAGAAGUGAGCAGAGCGAGGACUUGAGGACUAUCAGAAGCUCGCUCCCCAUUGGUGAUAACGGCAGUUUUUACUUCAGAUCUGCACACCCUGAAGUUUGAAAGCGAUGCAUUUCUAAUGCGGCCCUUCCCUUCCCCCUCCCCCCCCCGUGCAGUGGUACAAACUGAUCCUGGUUAAAAAUAACCCCCAGAUUCCUGAUAGUGAACAAAAAGAGGCAAUUGCACAACUCCUCUUCCAACCGUACCGCCUCAUCAGGAUUUGGGAUGUCAUCAACUCAGGAGCGAGCAGCAGCGUGGCCGUUCCCCAUCAAUCAGGGACAGGCAGAAGGACACACCUAUGAGACCACUGCUGUCAUGAUGGUGUAAAUACUGCCUAAUUAUGUUGCAACCUCUACUCCCAGAUUUCUGUAGAGAAGACUGCUGAUGUUGUGUGAUCUCUUUGCAAAACGCCCACGGGGGAAAGAAGGCUGAAACCACCGCAAGAGAAAUGAACCAGAGCCAUACUGAGUUAGCCUGAGUUCCACCCACAUCCCUGUGACUGGAGAUUCCUGUUAGCUGGUUGGAAGUGUUUAUCUGCAGCCAAAAUCUCAGCCGUCUGAACCCCGCUCUUGGUUGUUCAAGGUUUCGUCGCCAUUUCAUGCACAGCUCCGGAGAUGGAGCUGCAAGGCACAGGGUGCUUCAGCAGCAAGCUGGUGUAUGUGGGAGUAGGAGAGCUGGGAGAUGUUUAUCAGUGCUGUGUCUGCACUGGCAGCGUUUACCACAUUAGCCUGCAGCACCUAUGUCUGCAGCCAUAACAUCUCAGCCCCCAGAAGUAUUUCCCUAGAAGGCUGAAUGCAGAAAAAAGGCAAGCAUGUGUCAGGUCCAUUCAAGGUUGACCACCAGAGCACCCUCAGCAGACAGAUUGCUUCAAAAUCUUCAGCCUCACCACCAGGAACAGGAGGCAGAGUCCCAC